GCGUUAAAGUAAAUUGCAAGAAUUAAAUGCUUGAAUUAAAAGUUAGUAAUUAGUAGUUAGUGUUAAUGUGCCAUAAGGCAAUUUAGCGCUAUGUUAAGGUUAGCAUUCACCUGAUUACAUCAUCAGUGUGCUAUCUGAGGUCGGUCAAUAAAACUAUAGGCAAAUAAAUACAAGUUAGAGAUCAUGACUAGUAAGCCAAGCUCCUACAACUUGUCAUGCCAAA
rnacentral:lncRNA from 1 species